rnacentral:lncRNA from 1 species
AGAGCUGGACAGCUGCGCCCUCGAGCCAAGACCUCAGCCCGGACCCCGGGGACUAGCCCGUCGUCUUCUUUCAGGAGUGCUCUUCUCUCUGUCUCUUGGACUUCCUCCCUGGCGCGCCCUCCCCGCGGCAGCUUCGCUCCCUCCCUCCCUCGCUCCCUCCCUCCACCCCACCCCGCCCUGCCCCCUCCUUGCUCCGCGCCGCCCGCCACGGGGAGGGCGCACAGGGCUCGCGUCACUCCUCCCCCUCUGGACCUGGCGGCGGGCUCCUGCUCUUAUCGCCUCCCGGACUCUCCGGGGUCCUGCUGGCACUACUAAUUCCUCUCGGGGCUCUUUCCCUUUCCCAGUCUGUCCUCUUCAAAGCCGCAGAUACACCCGCAUUCAGCAGGGAGAACUCCCAACCUUGGCCAGACUCGAUUACUCCUAACUUCAGCAAUUCAUUCUCUGUUCCUUCCAGCAGCCCGUAUCCUAUCCCAGAAGUGCCCCCAACCUAGCGAUCCGUGCCCGGACACACCCUGCCCCUCCUCCACCCCCGCCGGACCCUGUGGGGGCUGAGUCUUGGGGAGACUGUGCCCUGGAAGAGCUUCCUUAGCCACGGUCCCCAGUGCCCGAACUGACACCAUCUGUCAACUUCAUUUAGGCAGUGCUGCCCUCAGCCACACGCCAGGGUGCCAGACGUCCCAAGGGUUAUUGUGAAAUCUUUCAACGAAUUCGUGCAAGCUGAGCCCUUCCUUCCACCCACGGCCGGUGGGCAGUGCUCGGUGAAGGGGUGAAGGUCGGCCCUGAAACCCAGGGAGCAGAUUCCUCCCAAUCCGGGCAGAUUUCCGUGGCCGCGGCUUUCCACGCGCGGAUUCCCCGAAGCCCGGAAGCGCCGAAACCUCCAAGCCCCGAAGCCCCGAAGCCUCGAAGCCCGCAGUGCUUGGGGGAGAACUGGACUCUGCUGCUGGUGCCUUCACUUUGUUUUAGGAUGUAAGAAGUAGACUUGCACAGGAAGCUAAGGCCGGCAGGCGCUGAGCUGAAGCAGGUGCGCAGCUGGGCCAGUUUUUGGACAAGGGACCUGGUGGCCCGCAGCGGUCCUGUGUCCUUUGAGACAGGAGCCUCCUGCUCAAUGUCCACAUACUUGUGGCUACAGAUGGCGAUGGAUAAGAGACACUCUUCAUAGGAGAGUGACCUUGUUGGACGCAGCGGGAUCGAAAUUUCAAGGGUCAUCAAAGGCUACAACCUAAAAGGUAGAAAUGGACGGUAGUUCCCUCUCUGCCAGCCUUUCCUCCCAGGCUUGGAUCUGUGGCUGCCCAGCACAGCGGGGACGAGACCUACAGUAAACCGCUGCUCCUUGGCCUUGCUGGAGAGGGAGCGGCUGCACGUCGGCGCUGAGAAGGGUGGUGGCCCCCUUUGAGACAAGCUUCUGGGGCGGUCACAGGACUCACUAGGUGCCAGAAGGGAACCUCAGCUGGCGCUGCCCAGUCCAGGGACAGUGGAGGAGGGGAAGGGGUCGAUACCUCUUGAUUCCGAACAGGCAGUGCCUACC